AUGUUUUGUUCUGUUGCCAUCUUCCUUCUCCCGUUAUGCAUCCGUUGUUUGUUUGCUAUUUUAUUGGGCAUAUUUUCGACUGGAAGACACAAAGGAGGUUGUGUAGUGGGGAUGGAUAUCUGGUGUUGGAAGAAGACGACGAGUAGCCAAAUACUUCUAGGUAUUAUCGUUUGGCAUGUUUCAUUAAAAUUCACAUUUGCAAAUAGAUGUGCUCAGCAGUCCUAUCCCCAACUUCAUGAUGAUGCUUCUGUUAAGUUCAUGCAGCAACACAAAUAUUGGGUUUGUACCAUGUAUUGUUUGCUUGCCUAA
rnacentral:rRNA from 1 species